ACUCCUGCGGGAGGCAGCAGUGGGGAAUUUUGGACAAUGGGCGAAAGCCUGAUCCAGCAAUGCCGCGUGAGUGAAGAAGGCCUUCGGGUUGUAAAGCUCUUUUGUCAGGGAAGAAACGGUGAAAGCUAAUAUCUUUUGCUAAUGACGGUACCUGAAGAAUAAGCACCGGCUAACUACGUGCCAGCAGCCGCGGUAAUACGUAGGGUGCAAGCGUUAAUCGGGAUUACUGGGCGUAAAGCGUGCGCAGGCGGUUUUGUAAGUCUGAUGUGAAAUCCCCGGGCUCAACCUGGGAAUUGCAUUGGAGACUGCAAGGCUAGAAUCUGGCAGAGGGGGGUAGAAUUCCACGUGUAGCAGUGAAAUGCGUAGAUAUGUGGAGGAACACCGAUGGCGAAGGCAGCCCCCUGGGUCAAGAUUGACGCUCAUGCACGAAAGCGUGGGGAGCAAACAGGAUUAGAAACCCCUGUAGUCCCAUGA
rnacentral:rRNA from 1 species